GGUUAAGCGACUAAGCGUACACGGUGGAUGCCCUGGCAGUCAGAGGCGAUGAAGGACGUGCUAAUCUGCGAUAAGCGUCGGUAAGGUGAUAUGAACCGUUAUAACCGGCGAUUUCCGAAUGGGGAAACCCAGUGUGUUUCGACACACUAUCAUUAACUGAAUCCAUAGGUUAAUGAGGCGAACCGGGGGAACUGAAACAUCUAAGUACCCCGAGGAAAAGAAAUCAACCGAGAUUCCCCCAGUAGCGGCGAGCGAACGGGGAGCAGCCCAGAGCCUGAAUCAGUNNNNNNNNNNNNNNNNNNNNNNNNNNNNNNNNNNNNNNNNNUGUGAGCUCGAUGAGUAGGGCGGGACACGUGGUAUCCUGUCUGAAUAUGGGGGGACCAUCCUCCAAGGCUAAAUACUCCUGACUGACCGAUAGUGAACCAGUACCGUGAGGGAAAGGCGAAAAGAACCCCGGCGAGGGGAGUGAAAAAGAACCUGAAACCGUGUACGUACAAGCAGUGGGAGCACGCUUAGGCGUGUGACUGCGUACCUUUUGUAUAAUGGGUCAGCGACUUAUAUUCUGUAGCAAGGUUAACCGAAUAGGGGAGCCGAAGGGAAACCGAGUCUUAACUGGGCGUUAAGUUGCAGGGUAUAGACCCGAAACCCGGUGAUCUAGCCAUGGGCAGGUUGAAGGUUGGGUAACACUAACUGGAGGACCGAACCGACUAAUGUUGAAAAAUUAGCGGAUGACUUGUGGCUGGGGGUGAAAGGCCAAUCAAACCGGGAGAUAGCUGGUUCUCCCCGAAAGCUAUUUAGGUAGCGCCUCGUGAAUUCAUCUCCGGGGGUAGAGCACUGUUUCGGCAAGGGGGUCAUCCCGACUUACCAACCCGAUGCAAACUGCGAAUACCGGAGAAUGUUAUCACGGGAGACACACGGCGGGUGCUAACGUCCGUCGUGAAGAGGGAAACAACCCAGACCGCCAGCUAAGGUCCCAAAGUCAUGGUUAAGUGGGAAACGAUGUGGGAAGGCCCAGACAGCCAGGAUGUUGGCUUAGAAGCAGCCAUCAUUUAAAGAAAGCGUAAUAGCUCACUGGUCGAGUCGGCCUGCGCGGAAGAUGUAACGGGGCUAAACCAUGCACCGAAGCUGCGGCAGCGACGCUUAUGCGUUGUUGGGUAGGGGAGCGUUCUGUAAGCCUGUGAAGGUGUGCUGUGAGGCAUGCUGGAGGUAUCAGAAGUGCGAAUGCUGACAUAAGUAACGAUAAAGCGGGUGAAAAGCCCGCUCGCCGGAAGACCAAGGGUUCCUGUCCAACGUUAAUCGGGGCAGGGUGAGUCGACCCCUAAGGCGAGGCCGAAAGGCGUAGUCGAUGGGAAACAGGUUAAUAUUCCUGUACUUGGUGUUACUGCGAAGGGGGGACGGAGAAGGCUAUGUUGGCCGGGCGACGGUUGUCCCGGUUUAAGCGUGUAGGCUGGUUUUCCAGGCAAAUCCGGAAAAUCAAGGCUGAGGCGUGAUGACGAGGCACUACGGUGCUGAAGCAACAAAUGCCCUGCUUCCAGGAAAAGCCUCUAAGCAUCAGGUAACAUCAAAUCGUACCCCAAACCGACACAGGUGGUCAGGUAGAGAAUACCAAGGCGCUUGAGAGAACUCGGGUGAAGGAACUAGGCAAAAUGGUGCCGUAACUUCGGGAGAAGGCACGCUGAUAUGUAGGUGAAGUCCCUCGCGGAUGGAGCUGAAAUCAGUCGAAGAUACCAGCUGGCUGCAACUGUUUAUUAAAAACACAGCACUGUGCAAACACGAAAGUGGACGUAUACGGUGUGACGCCUGCCCGGUGCCGGAAGGUUAAUUGAUGGGGUUAGCCGCAAGGCGAAGCUCUUGAUCGAAGCCCCGGUAAACGGCGGCCGUAACUAUAACGGUCCUAAGGUAGCGAAAUUCCUUGUCGGGUAAGUUCCGACCUGCACGAAUGGCGUAAUGAUGGCCAGGCUGUCUCCACCCGAGACUCAGUGAAAUUGAACUCGCUGUGAAGAUGCAGUGUACCCGCGGCAAGACGGAAAGACCCCGUGAACCUUUACUAUAGCUUGACACUGAACAUUGAGCCUUGAUGUGUAGGAUAGGUGGGAGGCUUAGAAGUGUGGACGCCAGUCUGCAUGGAGCCGACCUUGAAAUACCACCCUUUAAUGUUUGAUGUUCUAACGUUGACCCGUAAUCCGGGUUGCGGACAGUGUCUGGUGGGUAGUUUGACUGGGGCGGUCUCCUCCUAAAGAGUAACGGAGGAGCACGAAGGUUGGCUAAUCCUGGUCGGACAUCAGGAGGUUAGUGCAAUGGCAUAAGCCAGCUUGACUGCGAGCGUGACGGCGCGAGCAGGUGCGAAAGCAGGUCAUAGUGAUCCGGUGGUUCUGAAUGGAAGGGCCAUCGCUCAACGGAUAAAAGGUACUCCGGGGAUAACAGGCUGAUACCGCCCAAGAGUUCAUAUCGACGGCGGUGUUUGGCACCUCGAUGUCGGCUCAUCACAUCCUGGGGCUGAAGUAGGUCCCAAGGGUAUGGCUGUUCGCCAUUUAAAGUGGUACGCGAGCUGGGUUUAGAACGUCGUGAGACAGUUCGGUCCCUAUCUGCCGUGGGCGCUGGAGAACUGAGGGGGGCUGCUCCUAGUACGAGAGGACCGGAGUGGACGCAUCACUGGUGUUCGGGUUGUCAUGCCAAUGGCACUGCCCGGUAGCUAAAUGCGGAAGAGAUAAGUGCUGAAAGCAUCUAAGCACGAAACUUGCCCCGAGAUGAGUUCUCCCUGACUCCUUGAGAGUCCUGAAGGAACGUUGAAGACGACGACGUUGAUAGGCCGGGUGUGUAAGCGCAGCGAUGCGUUGAGCUAACCGGUACUAAUGAACCGUGAGGCUUAACCUU
rnacentral:rRNA from 1 species